CGUCCUGUAGCUCAGCGGUCAGAGCACUCGACUGGCAAGCGAGAGACCUGGGUUCGAUUCCCGGCCGGUCAGGGCGA